AUACCCAGACCUACUCCUCUCGCUCUAUUUAUUUCUUCUUGGAUCUUGUUCGUGAGAUUGAGAAAAAUCAAUAUUUUUAUGUACUCUUCUAAUUUUGAUUUUUGAAAUUCAAUACAAUAUUAAAUUAAAUAAUAGGAGACUGUAAAUGAAAGUUUCUUUCUCACCCCCACUAUCCUAACAUUGUCGGAACAAAACAAAAAGAUCGUAUGCCUUGAUAUGAAAAUAUUUGAUACAUGAAGCCGCGAUCUGAUUUAUAUAUAAAUCAGAUAUCGAUAUAAAUUAGAUAGAGAUCAAACUUGAUCUUCUUGUGUUCGGUUCGGGAAUCAAAGAAAAAGAAACAUAUUGGAAACAGCUCUUGUCUUGGAACUUGGAAUCACCCUUUCUUAGUAUCUUAGUAUGGAACGCCUAGGAAAAAGCGGAUUGAAUCGGAAAUAUCGACGGAUUCUUGCGGAGUCCAAAGAAAUAUCAAAUAAAAAAAAUCUACUGUUCGAAUUUCAUAGCUAUCGAAUUUGCAAUUUGAAUAUCAGAAUAGUGGAUAUAGUCAUGAUUCAAUGGGUUAGGUCCACUUACUUUUUAUUUUGUUGAUUUCGAAUCUUUACAAUAGAUUAGAUUGGAAUAAUGGAAAAGAAAAAUAUUUGGUGAUCGAAGAGACGACUUCACAUUACUCAUUAUAAUAAACAAGCGUUCAACUUUCUUUUAGCAACUUUCUUUUAGAAGGAGAAUUACUAUUCUAAUUACUAUAUUCUAACUCAUUAAUUACUAUAUUCUAACUCAUUAUAAGGAUAACGUAUUAUCAUUAAAUUCGAAAGUUUAUAAUUACAUUAUUAUCCAGUUGGUUACUUUUUUUAUUACAAAUCAACACAAUUUUUAUUCCCGUUUCAAUAUGAAUAUUACCACUUUACUUUAUUUAUAUUUAUGAAAAAGGCCAAAAAGCCCCUUAUCGGAUUUGAACCGAUGACUUACGCCUUACCAUGGCGUUACUCUACCACUGAGUUAAAAGGGCAAUUGGAUUCAAUUAUUGAAGGAGUCACUAGGCGGAUAAGAUAGAUCUAUAUCUAUCUAUAUAUAUAUUAUAAUUAUAAGUAUAUGCAGUAGACUCAUAGCGGCGAGUGUCACCUAGGGGAACGAUAAUUUUGAUUUACUUAAUUUACUUAAUAAGUAAUAAGUAUAAGUAUCGGUUAACCCGGGUUUAUUGAUAUUGGAUUUGAUAAAUAUCAAUGAAAUGAAGUGUUUCAAGACCGACCCUAAUUUCAAGACCGACCCUAAUGGAAUUGACUUAAAUUGAUCUGACCCCAUCAGAACGGAACGAAACUUAUUUGAUUGAUACAUGGAUACAUGGACCUACCAAUUCGACAUAGAUCCACCGGAUUUCACAUGUGAUAAAGAGAUUCUGUUUGUUCCCCGAACCCAAAUUUUAGAGAAAAAAAAAAAAAAAAAAAAAUUGAUAACUUGUUAAUCUUAAUCCCCGUUCCCAGAUUUUCGGAUUUCUCAUUUGUGAAUUUCCCAGCUUAGGGCGAUAUAGGAAUAGUCCGAUCUCAUCUUACCAAGGAGUGGAUAAAUGAAUGAAAGUUAAGUGGAAGAAAUGAAGAAAAAAUCUUCUUUUAUGUCGGACCAAUCACUUCCCAAAAGAGUCCUCUACUUUCGUCUUUCGGCCUAUUUUUAUUUUUAUUAUUAUUUAUAGCAAUUUCUAUAAUAGAUUUCGAUUUUAGACUAGAAUGGCGAUUAGAAUGAGCGAUUGAUGGACGAAUCAAAAAAAGCUAUUGGUAUGGGAUCAGAAAAGGUGGAAAGAUCCUUUACUUUAGAGUUAGUCAUCCCAUUCCAUUAUAUUGACAAUUUCAAAAAACUGUUCAUACUAAGUAUGAUGGCAGUCGGGCAAAUAUGCCCCCAUCGUCUAGCGGUUCAGGACAUCUCUCUUUCAAGGAGGCAGCGGGGAUUCGACUUCCCCUGGGGGUAGGGUACUACGAAAGGAAGUUGAUCGUGGAUUAUAAAUAAGCCUAGACUUUAUUCUUCCUGGGUCGAUGCCCGAGCGGUUAAUGGGGACGGACUGUAAAUUCGUUGGCAAUAUGUCUACGCUGGUUCAAAUCCAGCUCGGCCCAAUAAUUCGCUGAUCCAACAGGAAAUGAUAUAACCCCUUUGUUUUCCAGAAAUGCCAGAUACGAAAGACUCAAGAAUCAAAAGAGUCCAAUUCUCCGAUAGAUCCCUACCGCUAUUUAUUUAUUUUGUUUGCUCCAUUUAUUUGUUCCCAUAAAUUCUGAUCUUGCUAAUAAUGAUCUAGAUUCAUAUCAGGAUCAUGAAAUCGAAAGCAUAAAGUCUAAUGAAAAGAAUAAAGUAACGCAAAAAAAGACUCUUUUUUUUUUGGGACAUUGAAAAACGAAUUAUCAAUUGAUUUGGCAAUAACGAAAGGAAUCCGUGCCGCUCUCACUAAAGUGUAUAUCCGUGUGUAUAUCAAUAUCUCACUCACGUCUCGGUUCCAACACGUCGAUAUUUAUCUAAAUAUAAAUGAAAUUGUUUGAAUGAAAUCAUAAAAAUAGGUAUUCGGUACAUUUUACCGCCCCGGGAUUGUAGUUCAAUUGGUCAGAGCACCGCCCUGUCAAGGCGGAAGCUGCGGGUUCGAGCCCCGUCAGUCCGACGGAUCCAAAUCCAAUAAAAAAAAACAUCAAUAUAUCUCGCCGUUUCUGUUAAACUGGGGCAAAAUAAAAUGGUAGAAUUUCAUGCCUACUGCUCUCCUUUGCUCUUUUUUCUUUUUCAUUUCGAUUUCUCAUCAACUAGUACCGAUUGAUGAGAAAGAGACAUGUGCGAAUUGCUACAAUUAUUGGUAGCAUCAUAUUCAGGAUUCCAAGAGCUACCGUAGGGGGUCUGGUUUUUUUGACUGUCCCCCAUCUGUGUAUGGAAUGGAAUCGAGUACCAUAUCGUUCCCGGGAGCGUAUACACAACUGAAUUUAAGAUCGUUACUUUGAUAGAAUACUUUUAAGAUUAAGAUUCAAAGUAUCUUCUUUUCUGGUUUCUAGUUUGGCUAACUUAAAUUACUAGUUUGAAUUUGAAAGAAUUUAUCUCAUUCAAAUUUCACGCCGAACUUUUGAGGGAUACGUUCUAGUACUAAUCCAAGGGAGGGGGGAUGAUAUUCUUAAUAAAAUAAAGAUCAAGCAAGGCGCCAACCCCUCCCGAAGAGGGAAUGAAUAAUCUUUUUUAAGCGUAUUGCCAAAGAAGAAGAAACUCUAAAUAAAUCUAAAUAAAAUAGUCAAUUUUAUGAAAUAUUCGAUUCUUUUAUACUGGGACUCGUCUUUAUCACACUUCUUUUUCGUUUUUUUUUUUUUAAUGAUAUAAUUUUCUUGAAAAAAAGAAAAUGAAAAGGGGUUUAGAACUUAACCCCUUCCCUUUUUCUUUUUCUAUUUCGUUUCGAUUGUUUGUUUGGUUUUUUUUCUAAACCCUUUGUAAACAAGGAAAGUGUAAAGCGGUUAGGGGGUUGUACAAGUAAGGCGGUCGAUUAUAGAAAAGACAGACUGGAAAAGACUGGUAAAUAAAAAAAGUAUUAGUAUUAAAAAAGUAUUAGUAUUAAAGUAAAGGAAUUCUUUUGAUUGAAUCAGGAAUCAAAGUUUGUAUUUGGUGUGUGGAUAAAAGAGCUGCCUAUGUUAUACUAUUGAAUUCUCGACGAUGAAUCAUUACAUAUGAUCGAUUUAUUCACUAUUCGCUAUUCAUCGAUAUCGAAAUGUAAUUCAUCCCAUUGAAUUUACAAGCGAAAGGUUAUCAUCUCUAUGGGAUUAAAUCCGAUUAUUGCGAAGUAAAAAAAAACCAAACGAUGAGACUAUGAAGUAAUAUCUUCCAAUCUAUACUUUUCUGACGUUUUUUUUACUGCUAAUUUAUCAAGAAAAACGCAUAGGUAACUAGAACGAAAUCAAGGAGAUGAUUUAUUAUAGUCUCAUGAUAUGCGAAUAUAUAUUCGAUAGUCGUAAUCGCAAUAACUCGAUUAAUCCCAUAGAGAUGAUAACCUUUCGCUUGUAAAUUCAAUGGAUGAAUUACAUUUCGAUGAUAGGAAUGGGAUCAAUAUCAUGAAUAACAAUAUUUGACUGUCAAGUCGAUUCAUCGUCGAGAAUUCAAUAGUAUAACAUAGGCAGCUCUUUUAUCCACACACCAAAUACAAACUUUGAUUCCUGAUUCAAUCAAAAGAAUUCCUUUACUUUAAUACUAAUACUUUUUUAAUACUAAUACUUUUUUUAUUUACCAGUCUUUUCCAGUCUGUCUUUUCUAUAAUCGACCGCCUUACUUGUACAACCCCCUAACCGCUUUACACUUUCCUUGUUUACAAAGGGUUUAGAAAAAAACCAACAAACAAUCGAAACGAAAUAGAAAAGAAAAAGGGAAGGGGUUAAGUUCUAAACCCCUUUUCAUUUUCUUUUUUUCAAGAAAAUUAUAUCAUUAAAAAAAAAAAAAAACGAAAAAGAAGUGUGAUAAAGACGAGUCCCAGUAUAAAAGAAUCGAAUAUUUCAUAAAAUUGACUAUUUUAUUUAGAUUUAUUUAGAGUUUCUUCUUCUUUGGCAAUACGCUUAAAAAAGAUUAUUCAUUCCCUCUUCGGGAGGGGUUGGCGCCUUGCUUGAUCUUUAUUUUAUUAAGAAUAUCAUCCCCCCUCCCUUGGAUUAGUACUAGAACGUAUCCCUCAAAAGUUCGGCGUGAAAUUUGAAUGAGAUAAAUUCUUUCAAAUUCAAACUAGUAAUUUAAGUUAGCCAAACUAGAAACCAGAAAAGAAGAUACUUUGAAUCUUAAUCUUAAAAGUAUUCUAUCAAAGUAACGAUCUUAAAUUCAGUUGUGUAUACGCUCCCGGGAACGAUAUGGUACUCGAUUCCAUUCCAUACACAGAUGGGGGACAGUCAAAAAAACCAGACCCCCUACGGUAGCUCUUGGAAUCCUGAAUAUGAUGCUACCAAUAAUUGUAGCAAUUCGCACAUGUCUCUUUCUCAUCAAUCGGUACUAGUUGAUGAGAAAUCGAAAUGAAAAAGAAAAAAGAGCAAAGGAGAGCAGUAGGCAUGAAAUUCUACCAUUUUAUUUUGCCCCAGUUUAACAGAAACGGCGAGAUAUAUUGAUGUUUUUUUUUAUUGGAUUUGGAUCCGUCGGGACUGACGGGGCUCGAACCCGCAGCUUCCGCCUUGACAGGGCGGUGCUCUGACCAAUUGAACUACAAUCCCGGGGCGGUAAAAUGUACCGAAUACCUAUUUUUAUGAUUUCAUUCAAACAAUUUCAUUUAUAUUUAGAUAAAUAUCGACGUGUUGGAACCGAGACGUGAGUGAGAUAUUGAUAUACACACGGAUAUACACUUUAGUGAGAGCGGCACGGAUUCCUUUCGUUAUUGCCAAAUCAAUUGAUAAUUCGUUUUUCAAUGUCCCAAAAAAAAAGAGUCUUUUUUUUGCGUUACUUUAUUCUUUUCAUUAGACUUUAUGCUUUCGAUUUCAUGAUCCUGAUAUGAAUCUAGAUCAUUAUUAGCAAGAUCAGAAUUUAUGGGAACAAAUAAAUGGAGCAAACAAAAUAAAUAAAUAGCGGUAGGGAUCUAUCGGAGAAUUGGACUCUUUUGAUUCUUGAGUCUUUCGUAUCUGGCAUUUCUGGAAAACAAAGGGGUUAUAUCAUUUCCUGUUGGAUCAGCGAAUUAUUGGGCCGAGCUGGAUUUGAACCAGCGUAGACAUAUUGCCAACGAAUUUACAGUCCGUCCCCAUUAACCGCUCGGGCAUCGACCCAGGAAGAAUAAAGUCUAGGCUUAUUUAUAAUCCACGAUCAACUUCCUUUCGUAGUACCCUACCCCCAGGGGAAGUCGAAUCCCCGCUGCCUCCUUGAAAGAGAGAUGUCCUGAACCGCUAGACGAUGGGGGCAUAUUUGCCCGACUGCCAUCAUACUUAGUAUGAACAGUUUUUUGAAAUUGUCAAUAUAAUGGAAUGGGAUGACUAACUCUAAAGUAAAGGAUCUUUCCACCUUUUCUGAUCCCAUACCAAUAGCUUUUUUUGAUUCGUCCAUCAAUCGCUCAUUCUAAUCGCCAUUCUAGUCUAAAAUCGAAAUCUAUUAUAGAAAUUGCUAUAAAUAAUAAUAAAAAUAAAAAUAGGCCGAAAGACGAAAGUAGAGGACUCUUUUGGGAAGUGAUUGGUCCGACAUAAAAGAAGAUUUUUUCUUCAUUUCUUCCACUUAACUUUCAUUCAUUUAUCCACUCCUUGGUAAGAUGAGAUCGGACUAUUCCUAUAUCGCCCUAAGCUGGGAAAUUCACAAAUGAGAAAUCCGAAAAUCUGGGAACGGGGAUUAAGAUUAACAAGUUAUCAAUUUUUUUUUUUUUUUUUUUUUCUCUAAAAUUUGGGUUCGGGGAACAAACAGAAUCUCUUUAUCACAUGUGAAAUCCGGUGGAUCUAUGUCGAAUUGGUAGGUCCAUGUAUCCAUGUAUCAAUCAAAUAAGUUUCGUUCCGUUCUGAUGGGGUCAGAUCAAUUUAAGUCAAUUCCAUUAGGGUCGGUCUUGAAAUUAGGGUCGGUCUUGAAACACUUCAUUUCAUUGAUAUUUAUCAAAUCCAAUAUCAAUAAACCCGGGUUAACCGAUACUUAUACUUAUUACUUAUUAAGUAAAUUAAGUAAAUCAAAAUUAUCGUUCCCCUAGGUGACACUCGCCGCUAUGAGUCUACUGCAUAUACUUAUAAUUAUAAUAUAUAUAUAGAUAGAUAUAGAUCUAUCUUAUCCGCCUAGUGACUCCUUCAAUAAUUGAAUCCAAUUGCCCUUUUAACUCAGUGGUAGAGUAACGCCAUGGUAAGGCGUAAGUCAUCGGUUCAAAUCCGAUAAGGGGCUUUUUGGCCUUUUUCAUAAAUAUAAAUAAAGUAAAGUGGUAAUAUUCAUAUUGAAACGGGAAUAAAAAUUGUGUUGAUUUGUAAUAAAAAAAGUAACCAACUGGAUAAUAAUGUAAUUAUAAACUUUCGAAUUUAAUGAUAAUACGUUAUCCUUAUAAUGAGUUAGAAUAUAGUAAUUAAUGAGUUAGAAUAUAGUAAUUAGAAUAGUAAUUCUCCUUCUAAAAGAAAGUUGCUAAAAGAAAGUUGAACGCUUGUUUUAUUAUAAUGAGUAAUGUGAAGUCGUCUCUUCGAUCACCAAAUAUUUUUCUUUUCCAUUAUUCCAAUCUAAUCUAUUGUAAAGAUUCGAAAUCAACAAAAUAAAAAGUAAGUGACCUAACCCAUUGAAUCAUGACUAUAUCCACUAUUCUGAUAUUCAAAUUGCAAAUUCGAUAGCUAUGAAAUUCGAACAGUAGAUUUUUUUUAUUUGAUAUUUCUUUGGACUCCGCAAGAAUCCGUCGAUAUUUCGAUUCAAUCCGCUUUUCCUAGGCGUUCCAUACUAAGAUACUAAGAAAGGGUGAUUCCAAGUUCCAAGACAAGAGCUGUUUCCAAUAUGUUUCUUUUUCUUUGAUUCCCGAACCGAACACAAGAAGAUCAAGUUUGAUCUCUAUCUAAUUUAUAUCGAUAUCUGAUUUAUAUAUAAAUCAGAUCGCGGCUUCAUGUA
rnacentral:lncRNA from 1 species